UUGACUCUCAAAUGAGAAUCGUUAUGAUUAUCACAGCUGGUCGCGAGAUCAGCCGAUAACUGGAAGACCAUUGGUUCGGACUCUCAGAUUAUCUCCUCAUCAGGCUAAUCACGGUUAUUUGACCCGGCUCUUGCCGGGUCUUUUUUUG
rnacentral:sRNA from 1 species